AUGAACGCUGGCGGCGUGCCUCAUCCAUGCAAGUCGCGCGAACAGACGAGGAGCUUGCUCCUCUGACGUUAGCGGCGGACGGGUGAGUAACACGUGGAUAACCUACCUAUAAGACUGGGAUAACUUCGGGAAACCGGAGCUAAUACCGGAUAAUAUAUUGAACCGCAUGGUUCAAUAGUGAAAGACGGUUUUGCUGUCACUUAUAGAUGGAUCCGCGCCGCAUUAGCUAGUUGGUAAGGUAACGGCUUACCAAGGCAACGAUGCGUAGCCGACCUGAGAGGGUGAUCGGCCACACUGGAACUGAGACACGGUCCAGACUCCUACGGGAGGCAGCAGUAGGGAAUCUUCCGCAAUGGGCGAAAGCUUGACGGAGCAACGCCGCGUGAGUGAUGAAGGUCUUCGGAUCGUAAAACUCUGUUAUUAGGGAAGAACAAAUGUGUAAGUAACUAUGCACGUCUUGACGGUACCUAAUCAGAAAGCCACGGCUAACUACGUG
rnacentral:rRNA from 1 species